UCCUGCACUCUUAAUUUCCUCCUUUCUGUUAUACGUUGUAUGCUAAAAUGGCGUAAAGGCCUCUAACCUCCUCUAUGGUGAUUUUUCAUUCUGGGCCAUUUUGUCUACUUUUUGUGAGUGCGGUAGCUGCGUCCCCGGAGAAAAAAAAGUGUGUCCACCGGGGAGGGGAGUCAAUAGAAAAAAGGUGAUAUCUGCUACCCCUCCUAGAUGUCAACACCAGAUAGCGUUUAAACAACAGGACAGUGAAGGCCCAGUCAAAACAAGACUACAACCAUUUUAAAGCUGUAAAUUCACGUGGACUAACACUGCAGCUUGCCACCAAAGAAGAC